rnacentral:rRNA from 1 species
UACGGGGGGAGCAAGCGUUGUUCGGAUUUACUGGGCGUAAAGGGCGCGUAGGCGGCCAGCACAAGUCAGUUGUGAAAUCUCCGGGCUUAACUCGGAAAGGUCAACUGAUACUGUGCGGCUAGAGUGCAGAAGGGGCAACUGGAAUUCUCGGUGUAGCGGUGAAAUGCGUAGAUAUCGAGAGGAACACCUGCGGCGAAGGCGGGUUGCUGGGCUGACACUGACGCUGAUGCGCGAAAGCCAGGGGAGGCGAACGGG